rnacentral:rRNA from 1 species
AACGUAGGAGACAAACGUUAUCCGGAGUUACUGGGCGUAAAGGGCGCGUAGGCGGUCCUGUAAGUCCUGUGUGAAAUCCCUCGGCUCAACCGAGGAACUGCACAGGAAACUGCGGGACUGAGUUCGGGGAGAGGGAAGCGGAAUUCCGGGUGUAGCGGUGAAAUGCGUAGAUAUCCGGAGGAACACCGGUGGCGAAGGCGGCUCCUGGACCGACACUGACGCUGAGGCGCGAAGCCAGGGGAGCAAACGGG